UACGUAGGGCGCAAGCGUUGUCCGGAUUUAUUGGGCGUAAAGAGCUCGUAGGCGGUUUGUCGCGUCUUCCGUGAAAACUGGGGGCUUAACUUCCAGCUUGCGGUGGAUACGGGCUGACUGGAGUGCGGCAGGGGGAGACUGGAAUUCCUGGUGUAGCGGUGAAAUGCGCAGAUAUCAGGAGGAACACCGGUGGCGAAGGCGGGUCUCUGGGACGGUACUGACGCUAAGGCGCGAAAAGCGUGGGGAGCGAACAGG
rnacentral:rRNA from 1 species